rnacentral:rRNA from 1 species
UACGGAGGGUGCAAGCGUUAUCCAGAAUCACUGGGCGUAAAGGGCGCGUAGGCGGCCUGUUAAGUCCGAUGUUAAAGACUGGGGCUCAACCCCAGCAUUGCGUUGGAUACUGGCAGGCUUGACGGUUGGAGAGGCGAGUGGAAUUACCAGUGUAGCGGUGAAAUGCGUAGAUACUGGUAGGAACACCCAUUGCGAAGGCAGCUCGCUGAACAACACGUGACGCUGAGGCGCGAAAGUGUGGGGAGCAAACCGGAUUAGAUA